ACCCCAUGCAUGAUCUCUUCACUGCUACCAGGAAUCUGUCUUUGAUUCAUUAACCCACUUGGCAGUGACAGAAAUGGCUGGGGAAAGGGGCUGACUAACAGAAGGAGAGUCUUGUCCACAGAAUAUGUGCUUCCCUGCACCUAAUUAUUAAAUCCUACUCUGACAAGAUUACACUUUGGUGAACAUUCAUAUGGUUAAACAAAUGUCUUUACACACUGUGCCAGAUUGGAAAAGUCUGUGCACACACUUCUUCUCCAGAACAACUUGUGACAGAUUUUCCAAUGUACUCCUUCCAAAUCCUUGAUCAUCCAGUCAAACCAUUAGCCCAUGUGUAUGAAUCAGUGUAGACCUAUAAUUAUGGCUAUCUCUCCUUCCCUACAAAAUAAAUAACCUGCCCUGCUCAAAUUUUUGCCCACUUGGAUGAUAUCCUUUCACCACUGACUUUCAGGACCAUCUCAGAAUGAGGUUGUAGUUAUGCAUACCAUGCAGAAUUAUCUAGCUCAAGCCUGAAUUCUUUCUUUCUCAGUCAUCUGGUCAUAGGGAACUCCUUAUGAGACUAGCUGUGAAUUGAGGGAAGUAUAUAGCAGCAGUAGGGGUCAUGGGCAUACUUGUGUUUUCAGGACCUGCUAGAGAUGAAUCGUGCAUAUCCCAUUUCAUUUCAUGAUGAAGUGCUACUGUGAACGCCCAAGUGUAUGGCUUGAUGGAUGAAACAACACCUAGUUCUUGAUGGGCGGUUCAGGUUGCAUGGUAACUUGGUAGCCCAUGGUUAGGUGUUCAGUCUCCACUAUGACCCAUUAGCAGACAUGUCAAAAGGGGAAUAGAUGUUGACAGCGAAUAGCAUGGCUUUGCUUAAAGAAUCCUAAGGGUAUAUGCUGUGAUUCUUGGAUAGGUGCCUGCUACAGGUUCUUAACGGGAUCCUCAUCCACUGAGACUUCAAGCAACAUUAGGCCUUCUGGAUAACACAAUCCAAAUGGCAUGGCAGUUUGCUUGGCAGCUUGGAUCUAUUGCAGAACAGUCACUUCUUCUGGACUCUCUUCAAAAUUGGUUCAACCAGCAUUGUAUCAUCAGAGUGAUGAAUCAACAAGACAGGUGGAAGAAAAAGACAACCUAGCAGCCUGUAGCCUGGACUAUGAUAUUGGGCUGAAGAGUUGACAGACCCCUGAGGUUGGACAGUGAAGGUGUAUUCCUGGCCUUGCCAACAGAAAGCAAACUUCUAUGAUGGUAUUUACUAAUAAGUAUAGUAGAGGGGGAUAAAAAGCAUUUGCUGCUAAAUAGCUUCACACCAGGUGACAAGAGAAGUGUUGCUUUGUUCCGGCAACAAAAUUCCAUCUAAAAGCUCAGCUACAAACAGAGUUACUACCUGAUUAAAUUUGUGAUCAUCCACUGUCAUUAUGUAAGAUUAAUAUACCUUCUGCGCAGGCCAAAUAAGUAAUUGAAUGGAGGCAGAAUCACCACUGCUCUAUCUUUCCAGGCCUUGAGGCUGACACUAAUAUCUGCAAACCCUCCAAAAAUGCAGUAUUGCUUUUGAUUUAGUAUCUUUGUAGAUAGAGAUAGUUUUACUGACUUCCAUAUGGUCUUUAUGCCAUAAUAGCUCUCACUUGAAGGGUCAAGGAACCAGUGUGGGAAUUCUGAAAAUUUCUGGUGUCUCUAUUCCAGUUAUGUGUUCCACAGUUGAAGAAAGAACCACCCUUUGGAUUUGGGCCCAGUGGGCCCACUGUGAGAUAGACCUGAGCUAAAAUCCCUCAAUCACUUGACCCCCAUUAGCUCCUUCUCUGGGUAGUGCACUACAAGCGACUUUUUGGGUCACUAGGCAUUAACAUCAGCUGAAAGCCAGUAUUUGGGAAUCUUGAAAAGUCUGAUUCCCCCUACCCACCCACCCAAAUGCCUACUCAGAUUGGUAAAUGGCUGGCUGUUCCUCUGAGGAAUGCUGGGAGAUAGAUUAACAGUAUACAUUUUUGGCAUUACUGGGUUUUUCCUCAAGAAGACCCGGAGACUCCUCUUCUGAAGGGAUGCUCUGAGUCUGUAAACUGGCUCAAGGCUGGACGUUGAUUGAGAGGGUAUGACUCCUUUGGUGAUUCAAGUCAGACUUCUGCUCAUUACGCCUGCAGGUUUUCCACUUAGAUGAAGACUAUAGUGGACUUCCCAUCUAUAUUAUUUCUGCUUACACCAUGAUCAACUAGUAAACACCAAAUAUCUGCAAGCCAAACUAUUUUGCUUACUGCUUUGGCUCCACUGUCCCUAACAGUAACCAUGUCCAUGUUUUUGAUGAUUAAGUGCCAUGUGUCACCCCUGCCACCCUGGCACCUCAGCAUCCUCAUGGGACUUACACAUCCCCAUUUGAAGGUAGCAAUUCUCCCUGUAAUUUCUGAUUCAUAGAGAAGAGCAACCACAAGGCUCUUGAAGGAUUCUGGGGCUUGCCUGAUAAAAGACAUGUCCUCUGGACCUUCUGAGGUCGGUAAGCAAGCCUUACAGAAAUCCACUUUAACAUUCUAAUCUUCCUGAGCCUUUGCAUAGUUUUCUCUACAGUAUAUCAAGGAAGUUUUGGCAUUUCAACUGCUUUAGUGCAGUAGGUCAGCCAAAUCAAACAAGAGACAUUACUAGCCCCUCAAGCUAAAUAUUCAGUCCAGAAUAUCAAUUUAGUGGGCCCGUGUCAAUAAAUUCAGCCCGAUCGGACCUUAUAUUCUUUCCAUUCUGAUCCCAAACAUAUUCCCCAGGUUUCUGUUAAUAUAAAAUUAUACAUUUA